rnacentral:rRNA from 1 species
CCUACGGGAGGCAGCAGUAGGGAAUCUUCCGCAAUGGACGCAAGUCUGACGGAGCAACGCCGCGUGAGUGAUGAAGGUUUUCGGAUCGUAAAGCUCUGUUGCCCUAGACGAACAGCAGCAGGAGUAACUGCCUGUUGUGUGACGGUAUAGGAGAAGAAAGCCCCGGCUAACUACGUGCCAGCAGCCGCGGUAAUACGUAGGGGGCAAGCGUUGUCCGGAAUUAUUGGGCGUAAAGCGCGCGCAGGCGGCUAUUUAAGUUUGGUGUUUAAGCCCGGGGCUCAACCCCGGUUCGCAUCGAAAACUGGAUGGCUUGAGUGUAGGAGAGGAAAGUGGAAUUCCACGUGUAGCGGUGAAAUGCGUAGAGAUGUGGAGGAACACCAGUGGCGAAGGCGACUUUCUGGCCUAUAACUGACGCUGAGGCGCGAAAGCGUGGGGAGCAAACAGGAUUAGAUACCCUGGUAGUCCACGCCGUAAACGAUGCAUGCUAGGUGUCGGGGAUUCGAUUUCUCGGUGCCGAAGUAAACACAGUAAGCAUGCCGCCUGGGGAGUACGCUCGCAAGAGUGAAACUCAGAGGAAUUGACGG